rnacentral:rRNA from 1 species
UCGAGAAUUUUUCUCAAUGGGGGAAACCCUGAAGGAGCGACGCCGCGUGGAGGAUGAAGGUCUUCGGAUUGUAAACUCCUGUCAUUUGGGAACAAACGUUCCGGUUAACUGCCGGAGAAUUGAUAGUACCAGAAGAGGAAGAGACGGCUAACUCUGUGCCAGCAGCCGCGGUAAUACAGAGGUCUCAACCGUUGUUCGGAUUCAUUGGGCGUAAAGGGUGCGUAGGCGGUCUGGCAAGUCGGAUGUGAAAUCUCAGGGCUCAACCCUGAAACUGCAUUCGAUACUGCCGGGCUUGAGUACUGGAGGGGAGACUGGAAUUUACGGUGUAGCAGUGAAAUGCGUAGAUAUCGUAAGGAAGACCAGUGGCGAAGGCGAGUCUCUGGACAGUUACUGACGCUGAGGCACGAAGGCCAGGGGAGCAAACGG